rnacentral:tRNA from 1 species
ACUUUUAAUGGACAAAAGUCGUCCACUAGCCUUAGGAGCUGGCACCUCUUGGUGCAACUCCAAGUAAAAGAA